UCUACGGCCAUACAACCCUGAACGUGCUCAGUCUUGUCUGAUCUCAGAAGGUAAGCAGGGUUGGGCCUGGUUAGUACUUGGACGGGAGAAAAAAGACUGACUCCAAGGAAUUGCUAGCC
rnacentral:rRNA from 1 species